UACAGCUAAGGUCCCAAAGUGUGUGUUAAGUGGUAAAGGAUGUGGGAUUUCAUAGACAACUAGGAUGUUGGCUCAGAAGCAGCCAUACAUUCAAAGAGUGCGUAACAGCUCACUAGUCGAGAGGUCCUGCGCCGAAAAUGUCCGGGGCUAAAACACAACACCGAAGCUUAGGAAUUAACUAAUGUUAAUUGGUAGAGGAGCAUUCUUGCGUACGACGAAGCUGUACUGAAAAGAGCAGUGGAGGAACAAGAAGAGAGAAUGCCGGAAUGAGUAGCGAGAUGAAGGUGAGAAUCCUUCAGGCCGAAUAUCUAAGGUUUCCAGAGUAAAGCUGAUCUGCUCUGGGUAAGUCGGGGCCUAAGGCGAGGUCGAAAGACGUAGUCGAUGGAUAACAGGUUGAGAUUCCUGUACUGCAAUAAAUCAGAACUGUGGGGACGCAUGGAUAAAACUUAAGCCAGGAAUGGAAAGACUGGUGCAAGCGAAAGAGUGGUUAGGUUGGCAAAUCCGCCUAGCAACACAAGAGCGUGAUGCGUAUCGAACUUUUAGUAGAGAAGUAAGUAGAGUCUGUGCCGAGAAAAGCCGCUAUUGUAUUUAUUGUACCCGUACCGUAAACCGACACAGGUGGAUGAGGAGAGAAUCCUAAGGCCGACGGAAGAAGCAUUGUUAAGGAAUUCGGCAAAAUGACCCCGUAACUUCGGGAGAAGGGGUGCCUACUUCGGUAGGCCGCAGAGAAUAGGCUCAAGCAACUGUUUAGCAAAAACACAGGUCUAUGCGAAACCGUAAGGUGAUGUAUAUGGGCUGACGCCU
rnacentral:ncRNA from 1 species